CAGGUCUCUUUUCAGCUUCCUUCUUUACCUUUUCAGUUGUGAGGACCUUGCCAUUAUUAUUACCAGAAGGAAGACUGGAUGAUAUUUUGGGCUCUUGCUUAAUGGAAAUGUUUUUUGUGCUUGAAAUUUUGGGUGGCUCCACAUCCUAAAAGAUGAAAAAAGGCAUUAUCUAGUUCCUUCCCCCUGAAACAACUAGCAGUAUCAGUUUUCUGUGUAUCCAUAUCGAUGGUAACGUUUUAAAUCCAGUAUACCCCAUCAUCCCCAGAUGAAACCGUCUAGCUGCAGGAAAGCAAGCUCAAGGUUCCCACUGAUUCUACAUUAUGAAUGUAAGUUCCAUGAAGGCAGGCAGUGGAUUGGUCUUGCCUACUGUUGUAACCCCUGUCUGGCAGAGUUCCUGGAAAACAGCAAAUAACUACAUGGUCUUGCUCUGUCACCCAGGUUGGAGUGCACUGAGAUCAUGGCUCACUGCAGCCUCGAACUCCUGGGCUCAAGUGAUCCUCCUGCCUCAGCCUCCCAAGCAGCUAGGACUACAGGCAUGCACCACCGUAACCAUGCCCAGAUCCAUUUUUCACCCUACCUGGCAAUCUCAAAAGAAGUCCAAAGUUGAUCAUAUGCACGUGCCCCAGAUGAAGGAAACAGAAACUGUUCACAUAGAGUGCAGUAUUAUCGUUGCCAUUUCAUAAUGGCUCUAAAAAACUUUGUUCUUCAUGACUUCGCAAGCUCUUGCAACCCCUUCCAAUAAAC
rnacentral:lncRNA from 10 species